AUGACUCAACUAUACAACGUACUGUACAUAGUGAGAUACACACCACUGAUUCUCACUCUAGUUUCAGGCAGUUUUGCUGAUGAAAUUGGACCAAAGGAUGAAGAUGCCAGCAUAGUCACCAAGGAAACAGACACUGUUUCUCUGAGAUGUUCAUAUGUGUCAAGCAGUUAUUAUGUUCGCCUUUACUGGUACAAACAAUAUCCUAACAGCGCACCACAGUUUUUGCUGUAUAAAAAUGCAAAGUCAGCUGUUUCUAGUGAACACAACCCCUCUGGCUCUCGAUUCAAGAUAGCAGCAACCUCAGACUCUACUGAACUUACUGUAAAAGACCUAAAGCUCUCAGAUUCUGCACUCUAUCACUGUGCUGUUCUAGUAGGAGCACAGUAA